AUUUAUUCCUCCCUUUGAAAACCCAAAGCUCCAGAGGCCCAAUUAGUGUUUUCAGUCUCUGGCCCAAGUGUUGGUCCGUUAACUUUACCUCGUCCAAGAAGCCCAUGUUCUGUAGUGUUCACCUGUCCAUUCUUCUUCCCUGCCAAGGCCGAAAUUUCUACUCCAGUGACUUACUUCAACAUCACAUGCUGGCGAGCUUCUUCCCGGCGCACCUUCACAAAUACCUCGCGGAUCGAUGGUAGUAGGCUUCUCCUAAUAUUCGGCGUCUGACCUCGUCCAACUCCCGAUUCAGCCCUGCGAGAAAUUCGAAUACUCUCUCAUGUUCCUGCUACUUGUACAAGGCGACGUCUUCCUUGCACUUUCACUCCUCUUCGCUGCUCAGGUCGAGGUCCUGCCAUAGGGAGGUCAUCUCCAUGAAAUAUUGGAUAACAUCCCGUGUCCCCUGUUUCGUCUGCCAUAGACGGGUCUUAAGUUCGAAGACUUGUGCUGUGUUCCCAACGUCUGAAAAAGUCUCUUUCACGGCAUCCCAGACAUCUUUUGCCGUUGGGAGGAAGAGAUAGGCUUUCCCUAUCGACGGCUUCAUGGAGUUUACAAGCCAAGCGGUUGCCAUUGAAUUUUUAGAAUUCCACCGUUGCAGUUGAGCAGGAUCAGCUGGCUUCUUUGUCUCGCCGGUGAGAUAUCUAAGUUUCCCUUUUCCAUCAAUUAUUAAUUUAAUUGACUGUAAGUUGGAAUGAUGAAGUUUCAGAUGUAUUGGAACCAAUGGAGGAGUGGACCUCUGCUUCGGGGUCGGAGAUGACAGAUCUGGUACUGUGAGAGGGGAAUUCCGCCAUUGACUGCUAGGUUAGAGCAACCUAGGCUCUGACACCAGAAACAAUUAGAGAUUUGAGAAAAUAAAUUCUCUUUCUCAAUACAUUAAUAGCCUUCUCACGUCAGUUUAUAUACACACAAGAGGAAGAAAAUAUGGAAAAACUAAUUUCCUAAUCUAGGAAACAAAUUAGCCUACCAAAUAACAAAAAUAUGUAAUCCCUAAUUAAUUACAAUUACUAUAAUUGGGUUUCUUUCCUUUUUCUUCCCUUGAUCGUUUUCUACACUUUUCCUUCACUCUAUCCCCAAAAAAAGUCUUUCUUGGAGUUUCAAGCUUUAUAUAUAAUCAAAUUACAAAGACCAGUAAUGAAGUAAUUAUUAGAUCAUGAAACUGAUUCUGUUAUCUAUUAGUUUUGUUUAUUCACUAUGAAUAGUUAGAAUUGGUUAGUGUUGAGCUUUCAUAGUUGGUAGUUAAGUGUUGAGCUGUUAUGUAACUAAUUCUGUACACAAGUCAGUCUAUUUUUAUUGCCUUGAUUGAAUUUAGAAACACGAGAUACAUGAAUACAGAGAAUGGAAUUUCUUUCUUCUAGUUCUUCUCUUCAAACUUUGAUAUGGUAUCAGAACAAAUAGCUUGAUUUGCUAUUGUUAUUUUCUUGCCUUCAACUAGUUUAACAUUGAAUGCUACUGUCAUUUUUUCUUCGUUUCCAUGGAAAUCGAAUCUACGUCAUCUUCGAGUUCUGCCAU
rnacentral:lncRNA from 1 species